UCCCCUCAUGGCAUGAUAACUGAUAUUUAUUGGACACUUACCGUGUGCCAGACACCGUCCACUGGGUGGCUUGUGUGUGGCAAUAGAUACAGCAGAAAAUACCCCAAAGGGAAGGAAGGUAAGAAGUUGGAGGAAUUCCCACCAGACAGUAUGGCCUGCCACUUGUCCACGUUUUGAAAAUCACCCUUCUCAAACGCCUUGAGGAUUUUAAAAAGAAUCAAAGCUUUCAGAGACACUGUAAAGCUGGAAGUGAGAGGAAUGAGACUGAAGCCACUGCAACAUUUAGAGAUCUGGUAGAGGAAGAGCAAGCAAGUGAGACUGAGACAAAUGACCUGUGAAGUUGGAAGAAAACCAGAAGAUGGUGAUUCUAAGGAAGCUGAGCAAAGGAAGUAUUUCAAGAAGAGGGAUAUAUCAGUCAGUUGUUGCUAGGUAACAAACAAUCACAAAAAUCUCUAUGGCAUAUAACAAUAAAUAUUUUUAAUA